GCUGGGUGUGGUGGCACACACCUGUAAUCCCAGAAGCUUGGGAGGCUGAGGCAGGAGGAUUAUCCAAACUACUUGGAUUUGGCAGAACAUCUCUUUAUGACCUCCCUUUU
rnacentral:sRNA from 1 species